rnacentral:rRNA from 1 species
UACAGAGGGUGCAAGCGUUGCUCGGAAUUAUUGGGCGUAAAGGGUAGGUAGGUGGUCUCAUUUGUCAGGGGUGAAAGCCUUGGGCUUAACCCAAGAAGUGCCUUUGAAACGGUGAGACUGGAGUCCUGGAGAGGGUCGUGGAAUUCCCGGUGUAGCGGUGAAAUGCGUAGAGAUCGGGAGGAACACCUGAGGCGAAGGCGGCGACCUGGACAGGUACUGACACUCAACUCCGAAAGCGUGGGGAGCAAACAGG